GUCUAUGGCCAUACCACCCUGAAUGUGCCCAAUCUUGUCCCAUCUUGAAAGAUAAGCAGGGCCAGGCCUAGUUAAUACUUGAAUGGGAAAAGGCAAAAGAAGUAGGGUUGAGGUAUUUU
ensembl:rRNA 5S_rRNA 5S ribosomal RNA